AUGUCGGCGGGCGGCCGUGACGAGGAGCGGCGGAAGCUGGCCGACAUCAUCCACCACUGGAACGCCAACCGGCUGGACCUGUUCGAGAUCAGCCAGCCGACCGAGGAUUUGGAGUUCCAUGGAGUGAUGAGAUUUUAUUUUCAAGAUAAAGCUGCUGGAAACUUUGCAACAAAAUGUAUUCGGGUCUCUAGUACUGCCACCACUCAAGAUGUAAUCGAAACGCUCGCGGAGAAAUUUCGACCUGAUAUGCGAAUGCUGUCGUCUCCCAAGUAUUCACUCUAUGAAGUGCAUGUCAGCGGAGAAAGAAGAUUGGAUAUAGAUGAGAAACCUCUAGUUGUACAACUGAAUUGGAACAAAGAUGAUCGGGAAGGCAGAUUUGUUCUUAAGAAUGAGAAUGACGCCAUUCCUCCUAAGGCUCAAAGUAAUGGACCUGAAAAGCAGGAAAAAGAAGGGGUUAUCCAGAACUUCAAGAGAACUCUCUCAAAGAAAGAAAAGAAGGAAAAAAAGAAGAGAGAAAAAGAGGCAUUGCGACAGGCAUCUGAUAAAGAUGAUAGACCUUUCCAAGGGGAGGAUGUUGAAAAUUCUCGACUGGCUGCUGAGGUUUACAAAGACAUGCCGGAAACCAGCUUUACUCGAACCAUUUCUAAUCCUGAGGUGGUUAUGAAACGACGGAGGCAGCAAAAAUUGGAAAAGAGAAUGCAGGAAUUUCGGAGCUCAGAUGGGCGGCCUGAUUCAGGUGGAACAUUGAGAAUUUAUGCAGAUAGUUUAAAACCAAAUAUUCCCUACAAGACAAUCCUGCUGUCUACUACAGAUCCUGCAGACUUUGCUGUGGCUGAAGCUUUAGAGAAGUAUGGUCUGGAAAAAGAAAACCCUAAGGAUUACUGCAUCGCCCGGGUUAUGCUUCCUCCUGGAGCCCAGCAUUCUGAUGAAAAGGGUGCUAAAGAAAUUAUUCUUGAUGAUGAUGAGUGUCCUUUACAAAUCUUCAGGGAAUGGCCAAGUGACAAAGGGAUUUUAGUCUUUCAAUUGAAGAGGAGGCCACCAGACCACAUCCCAAAGAAAACCAAGAAACACUUGGAAGGCAAGACACCCAAGGGAAAGGAGAGAGCUGACGGGUCUGGCUAUGGCUCCACCCUUCCUCCGGAGAAGCUGCCCUAUUUAGUAGAGUUAAGCCCAGAUGGUUCUGACUCUAGAGAUAAGCCAAAGCUUUACCGCCUUCAGUUAAGUGUUACUGAAGUUGGGACAGAAAAGUUGGAUGACAACUCUAUCCAGUUGUUUGGCCCAGGAAUUCAGCCCCAUCACUGUGACCUUACCAACAUGGAUGGAGUGGUCACUGUGACGCCCAGAAGUAUGGACGCAGAAACCUACGUGGAAGGCCAGCGCAUCUCAGAAACCACCAUGCUGCAGAGUGGCAUGAAAGUGCAGUUUGGGGCGUCCCAUGUAUUUAAGUUUGUGGACCCCAGUCAGGAUCAUGCUCUUGCAAAAAGAUCUGUGGAUGGAGGCCUGAUGGUUAAGGGCCCAAGACAUAAACCUGGAAUUGUUCAGGAGACAACUUUUGAUUUGGGAGGAGAUAUUCAUAGUGGGACAGCAUUACCGACAAGCAAGAGCACCACUAGGCUGGACAGCGACAGAGUGUCGUCUGCCUCUAGCACAGCCGAGCGGGGAAUGGUGAAGCCGAUGAUCAGAGUAGAACAGCAGCCAGAUUAUCGCAGGCAAGAAAGCAGAACACAGGAUGUUUCUGGGCCUGAACUGAUACUACCUGCAAGCAUUGAAUUCAGGGAAAGUUCUGAAGAUUCAUUUUUGUCUGCCAUUAUAAAUUAUACUAAUAGCUCUACAGUCCACUUUAAGUUGUCCCCUACAUAUGUAUUAUAUAUGGCAUGCCGGUAUGUAUUGUCCAACCAGUACAGACCUGACAUCAGCCCUACAGAGCGCACACAUAAAGUCAUUGCAGUCGUCAACAAGAUGGUGAGCAUGAUGGAGGGCGUCAUCCAGAAACAGAAGAAUAUUGCAGGGGCACUUGCCUUCUGGAUGGCAAAUGCAUCUGAACUUCUCAACUUCAUUAAGCAAGACCGAGACCUUAGUCGGAUCACACUGGAUGCUCAAGAUGUUUUAGCACAUUUGGUUCAAAUGGCAUUUAAAUACUUGGUUCACUGUCUUCAAUCAGAACUUAAUAAUUACAUGCCAGCCUUUCUAGAUGACCCUGAAGAGAACAGUCUGCAAAGACCAAAAAUAGAUGAUGUGCUGCACACGCUCACAGGAGCCAUGUCCUUGCUACGACGCUGCAGAGUCAAUGCCGCCCUGACCAUCCAGCUCUUCUCUCAGCUCUUCCACUUCAUCAAUAUGUGGCUGUUCAAUAGAUUGGUGACCGACCCAGAUUCGGGGCUGUGCUCCCAUUACUGGGGUGCAAUUAUCCGUCAGCAGUUGGGCCAUAUUGAAGCCUGGGCUGAGAAGCAGGGGCUGGAACUGGCUGCGGACUGUCAUCUGAGCAGGAUCGUGCAGGCAACGACUUUGCUUACCAUGGAUAAGUAUGCACCUGAUGACAUUCCAAAUAUAAACAGCACCUGCUUUAAGUUAAAUUCACUACAACUUCAAGCCUUAUUACAGAACUAUCACUGUGCACCUGAUGAGCCUUUUAUCCCAACGGAUCUUAUAGAAAAUGUAGUGACUGUGGCUGAAAACACUGCCGAUGAGCUGGCCCGCAGUGAUGGAAGGGAAGUGCAGUUGGAGGAGGAUCCUGAUCUGCAGCUGCCGUUUCUUUUGCCAGAAGAUGGUUAUUCUUGUGAUGUUGUCAGAAACAUUCCAAAUGGUUUACAAGAAUUUUUAGACCCUCUGUGCCAGAGAGGAUUUUGCAGGUUAAUUCCUCACACACGUUCACCAGGUACUUGGACAAUAUAUUUUGAAGGUGCAGAUUAUGAAAGUCACCUUCUGCGUGAGAACACAGAGCUGGCUCAGCCUCUGAGGAAAGAACCUGAAAUAAUCACUGUGACCCUAAAAAAGCAGAAUGGAAUGGGCCUUAGCAUUGUUGCAGCAAAGGGUGCUGGUCAAGAUAAACUAGGAAUCUAUGUGAAGUCGGUUGUGAAAGGAGGUGCUGCAGAUGUGGAUGGACGUCUAGCUGCAGGUGAUCAGCUCCUCAGUGUGGAUGGACGAAGUCUGGUUGGACUCUCUCAGGAAAGGGCAGCAGAACUCAUGACAAGAACAAGCUCUGUGGUGACACUGGAAGUAGCAAAGCAGGGUGCCAUCUACCACGGUCUGGCCACCCUUCUCAAUCAGCCAUCCCCCAUGAUGCAGAGAAUUUCAGAUCGUCGUGGCUCAGGUAAACCCCGACCAAAGAGUGAAGGCUUUGAGCUCUAUAAUAAUUCAACUCAAAAUGGGUCUCCUGAGAGUCCUCAGCUGCCUUGGGCAGAAUAUAGUGAACCAAAGAAAUUGCCUGGUGAUGACAGACUGAUGAAAAAUAGAGCUGAUCACCGUUCCAGCCCCAACGUAGCAAAUCAGCCUCCUAGUCCUGGAGGGAAAAGUGCAUAUGCCUCUGGAACAACAGCGAAGAUAACAUCUGUCUCUACUGGAAACCUCUGCACUGAGGAGCAGACGCCUCCGCCUAGACCUGAAGCCUACCCCAUCCCCACUCAGACGUACACCAGAGAGUAUUUUACCUUCCCAGCUUCCAAAUCCCAGGAUCGGAUGGCUCCUCCUCAGAACCAGUGGCCAAAUUAUGAGGAAAAGCCGCAUAUGCACACAGAUAGUAAUCAUUCCAGUAUUGCAAUUCAGCGUGUUACACGUUCCCAAGAAGAACUUCGAGAAGAUAAAGCUUACCAACUUGAGCGGCAUCGAAUAGAGGCAGCUAUGGACCGAAAGUCUGAUAGUGAUAUGUGGAUAAAUCAGAGCUCCUCACUGGACUCCAGUACCUCUAGCCAAGAGCAUCUGAACCAUUCCUCUAAGUCGGUCACCCCUGCUUCUACACUGACCAAAAGUGGCCCUGGCCGUUGGAAAACACCAGCAGCCAUACCGGCCACCCCUGUGGCCAUCUCCCAGCCAAUCCGAACAGACCUGCCUCCGCCACCCCCGCCACCUCCAGUCCACUAUGCCGGUGAUUUCGAUGGAAUGUCCAUGGAUUUGCCUCUCCCACCACCCCCUUCCACCAACCAGAUAGGGCUGCCGUCUGCACAGGUGGCUGCUGCCGAACGGAAAAAGAGAGAAGAACAUCAGCGUUGGUAUGAGAAGGAGAAGGCCCGCCUGGAGGAGGAGCGGGAGAGGAAGCGGAGAGAGCAGGAGAGGAAGUUGGGCCAGAUGCGCACUCAGUCCUUAAACCCUGCUCCGUUUUCUCCCCUGACUGCACAGCAGAUGAAGCCCGAAAAGCCUUCCACACUCCAGCGGCCACAGGAAACAGUCAUUCGGGAGCUGCAGCCUCAGCAGCAGCCCCGCACGAUCGAGCGCAGAGACUUGCAGUACAUCACAGUCAGCAAAGAGGAGCUUUCCUCGGGGGACAGUCUGUCCCCCGACCCGUGGAAGCGGGACGCCAAGGAGAAGCUGGAGAAGCAGCAGCAGAUGCACAUCGUGGACAUGCUGAGCAAGGAGAUCCAGGAGCUCCAGAGCAAACCGGACCGCAGCGCCGAGGAGAGCGACCGGCUGCGCAAGCUCAUGCUGGAGUGGCAGUUCCAGAAGAGACUCCAGGAGUCGAAGCAGAAGGACGAAGAUGACGAGGAGGAGGAGGAGGACGAUGUGGACACCAUGCUGAUCAUGCAGCGCCUGGAGGCUGAACGAAGAGCGAGGGUAAAGGGGGAGUGCUUUGGCUGCGCCCAUCUGUGGUCCCUAUUUUAGCUUCGCUAUGUUUCCUAUGGGGAUAG
rnacentral:sRNA from 1 species